CCUACGGGUGGCAGCAGUGAGGAAUAUUGGUCAAUGGCCGAGAGGCUGAACCAGCCAAGUCGCGUGAGGGAAGACGGCCCUACGGGUUGUAAACCUCUUUUGUCGGGGAGCAAAGCCAACCACGUGUGGCUCAUUGAGAGUACCCGAAGAAAAAGCAUCGGCUAACUCCGUGCCAGCAGCCGCGGUAAUACGGAGGAUGCGAGCGUUAUCCGGAUUUAUUGGGUUUAAAGGGUGCGCAGGCGGACGUGCAAGUCAGCGGUAAAAUUGCGGGGCUCAACCCCGUACUGCCGUUGAAACUGCAUCCCUUGAGUGCGCGAUAGGUAUGCGGAAUGCGUGGUGUAGCGGUGAAAUGCAUAGAGAUCGCGCAGAACUCCGAUUGCGAAGGCAGCAUACCGGCGCGCAACUGACGCUCAUGCACGAAAGCGUGGGUAUCGAACAGGAUUAGAUACCCGGGUAGUC
rnacentral:rRNA from 1 species